rnacentral:rRNA from 1 species
UACAGGGGGUGCAAACGUUGCUCGGAAUCACUGGGCAUAAAGCGCGCGUAGGCGGGUUUUCAAGUCGGUUGUGAAAUCCCUCAGCUCAACUGAGGAACUGCAUCCGAUACUGUCUGUCUUGAGGACGAGAGGGGAAAGUGGAACUUCUGGUGGAGCGGUGAAAUGCGUAGAUAUCAGAAGGAACGCCGGUGGCGAAAGCGACUUUCUGGCUCGUGAAUCUGACGCUGGAGGCGACGAAAGCUUGGGUAGCAAACGGG